AGAGACAGCAGCCGCCACGGUAAAACGUAGGUGGCAAGCGUUGUCCGGAAUUAUUGGGCGUAAAGGGCUCGCAGGCGGUUUCUUAAGUCUGAUGUGAAAGCCCCCGGCUCAACCGGGGAGGGUCAUUGGAAACUGGGAAACUUGAGUGCAGAAGAGGAGAGUGGAAUUCCACGUGUAGCGGUGAAAUGCGUGGAGAUGUGGAGGAACACCAGUGGCGAAGGCGACUCUCUGGUCUGUAACUGACGCUGAGGAGCGAAAGCGUGGGGAGCGAACAGGAUUAGAUACCCGAGUAGUCCCUGUCUCUUAUAA
rnacentral:rRNA from 1 species